UAUAAAUCACAGAAGCAGUGGUGGCUUAUGCUUUCUUUCUGCAUGAACUCCUUCCAUUCUUUCUGCUCUUUAAAGAAGCUGUAGUCCAUGUCCUCCUGCAGAAUUCCUUUUGGAAAAGUCAAGUCACAUUAGCUGGCAUUUCUAAACGGACUGUGAAGGCAGCAGGAGAGCAUGGCGGCUGGCUGCGAGAUACAGCUUAGGGCACCCAAGUGACUGCCCUUUUACUUGGAGGGCUUGGCUUUCGGUGAGCGCCACCAGUGCAGAUAAAAGUCAAGUUCUCGAAGCUUAAUGAGACAUCGGAAGGACACGGGAGAAGCCAACUGAACAUUUUAUAAAUUAUCUGCUCAGACAAAAGUGUCCCACACUGCAUUUGCAUGUGCCGACGUGUGAGACCAAGGAAGAGAUCCACAGCACAAACAAGAAGAAAUCGGAAGAUCUCACUUGGAGGCGAGGGUGUAGCGGUGAUGCAGUGGGAUACGACAAGAUGGCGCAGGUUGUGAGGACGAUGACAUUCUUUUGCAGCAUUACUGAGGAAGUUUGAUACCCCCUGAACAUGAGACGGUAGUUGUUUUCUCAUUCCCAAGCCCUGAAAUUUGAAACAUUUAAGCUCAAGUGACAAAUGGCA